UACGGAGGGGGCGAGCGUUAUUCGGAAUUAUUGGGCGUAAAGGGCGCGUAGGCGGCCCAUCAAGUCAAAGGUGAAAUCCCUCGGCUCAACUGAGGAACUGCCUUUGAAACUGAGGGGCUUGAGUCCGGGAGGGGGUAGCGGUGAAAUGUGUAGAUAUCGAGAGGAACGCCCGAGGCGAAAGCGGGUGGCUGGGCCUGUCCUGACGCUGAGACGCGAAAGCGUGGGGAGCAAACGGG
rnacentral:rRNA from 1 species